rnacentral:rRNA from 1 species
GACGAACGCUGGCGGCGUGCUUAACACAUGCAAGUCGAACGGUAAGGCCCUUCGGGGUACACGAGUGGCGAACGGGUGAGUAACACGUGGGUGAUCUGCCUUGCACUUCGGGAUAAGCCUGGGAAACUGGGUCUAAUACCGGAUAGGACCACUGCCUGCAUGGGUGGUGGUGGAAAGCUUUUGCGCGGUGGGAUGGGCCCGCGGCCUAUCAGCUUGUGGGUGGGGUGAUGGCCUACCAAGGCGACGACGGGUAGCCGGCCUGGGAGGGUGACCGGCCACGCUGGGAGUGAGCUACGGGCCAGACUCCUAGGGGAGGCAGCAGGGGGGAGUAGUGGUCAAGGGUCGCAAGGCUGAUGCGGCGAGGACACGUGAGGGAUGACGGCCUUCGGGUUGUAAACCUCUUUCAGCACCGACGAAGCGCAGGUGAGGGUAGGUGCAGAAGAAGGACCGGCCAACUACGUGCCAGCAGCGGCAGUAA